ensembl:lncRNA
ACAUUUCUUGAGGGCCUGCUUUGUUCCAGGCACUUAGCUGGGUGCUGCACACAGAGGAGCAGAAAGAGAAUGGGCUUUGUGUCAAAGCCCUGGGUUCUAAUCCGAACUCUACCAUUUACCAGCCCUGUGACUGUGGACAGGGGAGUGACCGAAGUCUCAUCAUCUCACCUCUGCACAGGCAUCCCUGAGCCGCACUCAUCUCAUCUCUGCACAGGGAUGUCGUGGGGAUUAAACAAGAUGACGCCCAUCAAGCACUGAGCCCAGCGUCUGGCUCAGCGCGAGCGCUCAAUAAGGGGCAGCCAUAUUGAAAGGGUCAGGGAUGUUGAGUACAUGAUGGAGUUCACACAAGACCAGGCUCAAGCAGGACAAUGGACAUUUGAUUACAUGGAAUUUAAAGUAGUCUUAUUUAAUUUUAUGGUUCCUAAAACUGGGCUCUGGACUGCUUCCUUUGUUCACUCACUUUCCCAGGGAAAUAGACCCUUGAAUAUAGAGGGACAAAGUCCUUUGUCUUUGUUGUGCUGUGGACACCCAUGGGAAUCUUCUACACACGGAUGAAAACUGCACCAGUAACCAGACAGGUGCACUCCCGGCCAGAGAAGAGUCUAGUCGUGUCUCUGACUCCUACGAAGUUUCUUUAAAUACACUAAGGCAUGAGUGGCUGGUAGCUGAGGGUUUCCAGAGAGAAGGCUCCUGGCUGCAGAGAGAAGUAUGGUGACAAGUUCUGGCCCUUCCUGAGAGUAGAUGGGAUCAGGGCUGGGGUUCAGGGCCAGCUACAGCUUCUGUUCAGAGCAGGGAAACUAAGGCAGAAGGUCUGUCAUGUAGAUGGGGACUGCGUAAGGAAGGGAGCGGGUGGGAGAAGAAAACUCAGGCUAGGAAGCACUGGGACCUGAGCCCUCCCCCUGGGGGUCACGCCUAGCUUGGGAACUGCCCAGGGCUGAGUCUGCCAGUUCAGGGUCUCUGCGGGGCUGGGAAGGGCAGUGGCUGACAGAGAUGUCACUACUAAUCCUAGCCUUUCUCUCCAUUUGAGCCACUGGACCCGGGGAGAAACAGGUGGAGGGGAAAGGAACCGUUUCCUUUUGUCCCUACACUAGAGUAUCCAGGUGAAGUGCUAUCCUGGUCACGUACAGCGUGCGACUGUCAUUAAUAACACCGUCUUGCAUAUUUGGAAGUUGCUAUGAGAGUAGAUAUUUAAAGUCCUCACCACAAGAAAAAAAAUGUGUACCUAUGUGCAGUGAUGGAUGUUAACUAGACUUAUUGUGGUGAUCAUUUCUCAAUAUACACAAAUAUUGAAUCAUCAUGUUGUACACCUGAAACUAACGUAAUGCUACAUGUCAAUUAUACUUCAAUAAAAAAAGUUAAAAAAAAAAACCUCAAACAAAAAAAUCCCAAAGCACCUCUCCCUCUUCCGUUUCGGGUAACGACGUGGUAAAGCAAAGCCACACUUCUCAACCUACUGAAGUCACGUGGGGUCUUGUAAACAUGCUGAUUCAGAUUCUGUGGCUCUCGGUGGAGCCUGAAAUUCUGCAUCUCUGACGAGUUCCCAGGUGAUGCUGAGGCUGCUCUGAGGCUCUCUGCCUGGGAAACGUAUCAAAAUGUUAGAAAAAAUCUUUAAAAACAUGCUUUUCAAUCAAUGGCAGAGGCUUCAAGGAAGGGGAACCUAAGGCCAGGAGUGAAGCCAGACCCCAGUCCAAGUGGAUACGUGAGAAGAAAUGGUCACAUAUUCUGGGGGAUUCGACACAGUCCUGUGGCCCAGAGCUCUUGUGCAUAGAAUUGUGCUAGCAAUGGGAGGGUGACACAGCACUAAUCCUUGUACUCAGGCAGGGCGGGGAGGCAAACUGGAGGCCCGUCCCCAUAAAGCCAGGACUCAGGAAGGGCUACACCCUGAGGAAAAGGGUGAUCAAUAAAAAAAAAACAAACAAGGAAAAGUGUCUGUGUCAGCCUUGAUUUGGGGUAAUUGGGGAGAAAAAAGUCCCCUGAGAUUUGCGAGCUACUGGCUGACCCUUGCAUGAUGUGGGAGUCUGAAAUGACACUGGUAGCACGCUCUUAAACCCCCAAGAUGGUCGUGUGAAUUUAGAGUGGACCCGGUCUGGCAUGAGUAUGUCCUGAUGCCUGGCCGAAGCAAUCACAGAUGCUCCUGGCAGGAUCGUGCCUCACCCCAGGCCGUGUAGAAUUAUCGCAGGAUUCCCCACUGUGGAGGCUCAUAGUCAAAACCUCGGCGCGUAAGGGGAACACAUCACCACGAGCGAGAGCGGCCGAAACAGCGCACCAUACGAUCAGGCCCACAAAGACUUCAGACAUUGGGAUUUAGACUGUAAAACAAUUGUUAAAUAUGUUCAAAGAAAUAAAAGAGGGAAUAAAAAGGAGUCAAGAGCAAGAGACUGUAAAAAUGACCAGGCAGAUUUGAAAAAGUAUCAAAGUGCCUACUAAUGAUGAAUACGUGUCCGUAGCUUCCUAUAUUAAAGCCAACACACUUUCUGUUGGAAAGAAAUUUGGAACUUGUCCACCCCAUCCCCGGCCUUUAAAUGCGACCUGCCCGUACCUGCCAUGUGCCAACAGCAGGGAACAUUAUCAGAAACACGUUUCCAGAAUCAUCCCUCUGCCUGGCCCAGCCCUUCUCCUGCUACUUCUCCUAGCUCUGGGGCUCCCUGGCUUCUGUCCCCAGUUCCCAGUUCCUACUUCUCACCCUCCUCCUUUUUUAAGUGACACAACCAAACAUCCCUCAGGUCCCCUCUCAACUCCACACGAGUCCGUCUUUCAUGGUGGGAGGAAAGUGGGGGGGGGUGGGGUCUCAAACAUGACCGUGUGGCAGCCGCUAUAAUCAUGUCCCAUGCUACCCCAUCACCUGCACCUUUCAUGUCCACAGAGCUCUGUCAUCCUCACAGGGGAGACAGGCUCAGGGCCAUCAUCAUUCAGCUAGAAAUGGACAGAACUAGGCUUCAAAACGGGGCUCACACGCACGCCUCUGAGGCGGCCUAGGACUUGCUCUCCUCCACAGCCACCCCCGUUACAGCAACGAUCGUAACCAACCAGCACGUUCUGCUCCCGUGUUACGUUAGGCCCUCCCCAGCCUCCAACGCUGGACUGACAUCUUCUUAGAGUUACCCAGUUGACUGGGAAGCCUCUUGGGCAUUGCCAAAUGCAGACUUUUGAUCAAGGAAAUGUCCAUUUAUGUCCCAUGUGUCUGAAGACCAUCCGUCUCUGGCUGCAGUCGCUGGAGACGUAAGCACAGGUUCUCUCGAGCACAAGUCGGUGUAAGCACAGCAGAGGGGGAAGAGGCGUGGGAGGGAGACAGCGUCCUCGUCAGUCCCCCCACCCCGUCCCAAGGUGACUUCUCAAAGUCCCACAGAAAGACACUUUUCAAGUCUCAGGGACAUAAAAGACCACGAAACAUGACAGUAUGUGCAAAUACUACACAUACCAGGUAAACUGCGAAAUUUCAACCAGGCUUCUAUUUGUUUUGCUCCCCAGCUUUUCCAGCCAGAAACUGAAAAGGAAAGUUCCGUGCGCCCUCUUGUGGGCAGAUGUAGCGCUGCAGGGCCUCGCCCACCCACCCCUGCCCGUGGGAGGAGCCGAAGGAGACGGACCGGGCACCGCCGCCCUCGCGACCCACGUUCUAGCGGAGGCAGACGGGAAAAGAAGCAGACAGAUGGACAAGGUCCUCUCAGAAAGCGAAAGGAAAGAACGUAAAAUAGGGCGAUGCGACAGAGUGCCUUGGAGGGGGGAGGUGGCUGGGUAGGGGUACAGGGUGGAUGUUGAAGGCUGGCUGGCUAGGGGAGCAGAUGGCUGAGCUGAGCUCAAAAGGACAAGAAGUUACCAACCACGUUGGGUAAGAGGGCAGGGUCCCAGGCAGAGGGACGGUCCCCAGGCAGGAAGGAGCUCUGAGUGUCGAACACAGAGAAACCAGCAUGGCUGGUGGCACAGAGCACAGAGAAGUACUCCAGGGGCUGAGGGUGGAGGAAUGGGCACCCAUCCAGGUGGGCACACGGGGUCUGCUUCACCCCUUCAGGACAUCUGAUUCUCACCCCUGCCCCACCAAGCAGUCCUUCGGCAAACCCAACCAGCUCUGGCUCACACGUCCACUCUCCUCUCUCCCCAGCCACCCCGCCCCAAUGUCUUUCCCUCCUGCAGCAGCUUCCUAAUGGAUCUCCUCACCCCUUGCAAGGCAUUCUCCUCUAGGCAGAAAAGCCAACUUUUAAAUGUAAACAGUUAAUGUCUCAUCCUUGCUUAAAACUCUUCAAUGACUUUGCACUCAGAAUAAACUCAGUCCUUAGGGCUGCUUCUCCCUCCCUCUGCCACAGGCACAGUGGAAGUUAACCUCUUUCCUGCCCCAGGGCCUUUGCGCUUACAGUUCCCUACACCUGGAAUGCUCUUCCUCUGGUUCUUGACAAGUCUGGUUCAUUUUCAUCCUCCAGGGCUCAGCUUAGCCUUCUCCUUAGAGAAGCCCUCAGGUUACUCUGGAUCUCAAGGCCGUGUUGAUUCCCUUCAUGGUACCCAGCAGAGCGUGCAAUUAUUUUAUUCGUUGUUUUCUUGCUUUUUGUCUUUUAUGUUGGUUUUGACAUCCAAGAGGACAGAGACCAUAACUUUUAUUCACCACUGGAUCCUCCGUGCCUGGCCGAGCUCCUGGCAUCCGAGUGACAUUUGUGGAGUGAAUGAGUGAGCCCCAGGAGCGGGGAGCCAGCGUGGGUCUUAGGGACGAUCUGGCCCAGGAGCCGUCCUCUUCUAUUUGUGGCACAGAGCCUCUUCCCAAAUGGAAUCUAUGCAGAGCCUCAGAGCCGAGACGCAGCAGCCUGAGCCUUGCCCUCCCGGCUCUGUCUCCAGGCGGUGAGGGCCCUGACCGAGCCCGGGACGCCGCAGGUGGCCGAGUUGUCAGGACCGGCCCCUCAGCCCUGGGUUUCCCCAGCUGCCCCGCUCUGAUCUUUGGAACAGAGGCGCAAUGGGACAUGGCGUUUCAAAGCGUCAG